rnacentral:rRNA from 1 species
AGGACGAACGCUGGCGGCGUGCUUAACACAUGCAAGUCGAGCGGUGAUCCUCCUUCGGGAGGUGAGCAGCGGCGAACGGGUGAGUAACACGUGGGCAACCUGCCCCUCACACUUGGAUAACCUCGGGAAACCGGGGCUAAUACCGGAUAUGACCUCGAGCGGCAUCUCUUGAGGUGGAAAGCUCCGACGGUGAGGGAUGGGCCCGCGGCCUAUCAGCUUGUUGGUGGGGUAAUGGCCUACCAAGGCGACGACGGGUAGCCGGCCUGAGAGGGCGACCGGCCACACUGGGACUGAGACACGGCCCAGACUCCUACGGGAGGCAGCAGUGGGGAAUAUUGCGCAAUGGGCGAAAGCCUGACGCAGCGACGCCGCGUGAGGGAUGAAGGCCUUCGGGUUGUAAACCUCUUUCAGCAGGGACGAAGCGAAAGUGACGGUACCUGCAGAAGAAGCACCGGCUAACUACGCGCCAGCAGCCGCGGUAA